CGUGUAACAGUGUAAAUAUGUUUAACAGUUGAAAAAUGCCGUCUUCUGGGAGGUGGGGCCGUGUAGAUCUUGGGUGAAUCGACAUUUCAGAGGAACGUAUCGCCUCCAUCUUCAGGGUACAGACAUAUGAGCGAAGGGGAACCAGCGUGAGCGGCUGCAACAGUCAUUUCUUCAACCGUGAUCUUCUGCAGGUGCUGGAGACGCGGAAACUUACCGGGAACAGCAAAGUGAAUUUCAAGGGGGUUACACAGAAGCCUUAUUUCUGUGGAAGAGUAUUGAACCUUUGUACCAGAAGCUGCACGCCUUUGUGUCCAAACAACUCUCCAGGCACUAUGCUUUUCUCAGGUCUACAAACAGCACUCAUUCCUGUUCAUCUUCUAG